GUUGGUGCAAAAGUAAUUGUGGUUUUUGCCACUGAAAGUAAUGGCAAAACCACAAUUACUUUUGCACCAACCUAAUA
rnacentral:miRNA from 1 species